ACCACAUGUUGUAUUUAAUAUAACAAGGGUUGCCUUUUAGCGACAAAAGCACAAAGACUCCUAGAUCUCAUGGAAAGAAGUUUCAUGUUUUAGUAGAAGAAGAAGUCACUAAAUUAUUGAAAAAUGGAGUUUGCGGUAGCAAAAUGCUUUAAAACCGAGUUUAAGAAGAGAGUUGUUUUAUCAACAAACGUUUGGCGAGGAACUUUUAAGCUUUAACUCGAACACGGUGAUUGUCGGUGAAGAUUUCUCCGUUGAUGACCUCCUUGACUUCUCCAAUGGCGAUGAACAACACCACGAGGAAGAUGAAGAAGAAAAAGAUAGUUUGUUUUCACAAGUGAGUUACCAGUUCCUGAUGAUGAUGUGGCAUGCCUUGAAUGAGUUUCUAACACAAUGUUUCUACAUGAAUUUUGAAUUGGAGUCCAUGAUUUUUCAAGAUCUAUGUUGUUGAUUAAUUUUGUUAGCAAUAGCUUUUGUAAAACGGUUUGGCAUAAAUUUUAGCAGGUCUCAAAGGAUAGGAUAAGAGUUCUGGCAUUUUAUUAACUAUAUUAGAUCUUCUAGUUUCUCUUCAGAACUUUGUUUCUAAUAUUCACAAUUGAAUCCAAUAGUAUUUUGUUUCUUUGGGCGAGUCGUCAUCCGCUAGAUAAAUCAUUGAGGUUUAAACUAACAACUUUAAUAUGAUGUGGUAAUGACAUGAUCUAUUUUGUUACCAUAAUGCCUGAGUCUUCUUAUUUGGUGUAUCAGGUGAGUUAUAUAUUAUAUAGACAGAAAUUGCAUAUAAUAAUAGGUUGUUGUUUCUUUAAUUGCUCAAAUUUGUUUAAUUUAAUGAUAGGUUCUUCAAUUGCUCAAAUUUGUUUAGUUUAAUGGCAGGGAUGGAAGACUUAAGCUGGAUGGAAGACUUAAGCUUAU